CUAAGUGGGAUAAAAACAGGCUCAUACAAUAAAUAAAUUCAAACAGACAAAAAGUCUGAGAGAAACUGUGAUGGCUCGGUGGAGGCUAUGUACGACGUAAAGCGUGAUUUAUGGUUGUGCGGAGGCUCCACGCGGAACUUUCUCCGUAGCCUACACUGUGACAGCCAUGGUGCCUGAGCUUGGAAAGUUGGAGAAACUUCAACAAUGAAUGAUGUUGUGUCAUUGGAGCUGUAAGUAACGUAUUUCCUUGGAGAACGUUGGCACCAAGAUC